rnacentral:snRNA from 1 species
GAGUGAGAGUGACUUGGUUACAAUAUUUGUUACCCCAUUGAUCACCAAGGCUGAUUUGGCUGAUCUGGCUGUCUAGGAGGGUUUUCCCUUCCUCCUUAUUUGUGUAUGCCUCCUGAAGCUGUGUACGUAAUCAAAGAGGACAACCUUCCUGAUAAAGGUGUACCAUUCUUUGAGUAGAUGUGCUCUCCCUCCUAGAACCAACUCUCAAGGUUCAUUUAUAAUAAUACUAAUAUUAAUAAUGAUGAGAAUAGGUGGCUUUAUAUAAUACUCUAAGGUUUGUAAAACAUCACACAUCUGUUAUCUCAG